rnacentral:rRNA from 1 species
CCUACGGGAGGCAGCAGUGAGGAAUAUUGGUCAAUGGACGAGAGUCUGAACCAGCCAAGUAGCGUGAAGGAUGACUGCCCUAUGGGUUGUAAACUUCUUUUAUAUGGGAAUAAAACGUUCCACGUGUGGGAUUUUGUAUGUACCAUAUGAAUAAGGAUCGGGUAACUCCGUGCCAGCAGCCGCGGUAAUACGGAGGAUCCGAGCUUUAUCCGGAUUUAUUGGGUUUAAAGGGAGCGUAGGAGGAUUGUUAAGUCAGUUGUGAAAGUUUGCGGCGCAACCGUAAAAUUGCAGUUGAAACUGGCAGUCUUGAGUACAGUAGAGGUGGGCGGAAUUCGUGGUGUAGCGGUGAAAUGCUUAGAUAUCACGAAGAACUCCGAUUGCGAAGGCAGUUCACUGGACUGCAACUGACACUGAGGCUCGAAAGUGUGGGUAUCAAACAGGAUUAGAUACCCGAGUAGUC